GCUGUGCGUCGCGCUGUGUGUGUGUACACAGCUGGACGGCGUAUACUGGUUGGUGCGUGCACACUGCUCCACUGCGUCUACAUCAAAAUACCGUCUGACACUAGUCAGACGCUCGCCAUCGAGGGGAGUCAAACUAUUCGACCUACGUUAACAUACCAGUACCGGCGUCUGACGGCAGGUCAUGCCACUAACAUUACCAACGACGCAAAUCCUGCGGCGCACCGUCUGAACAUCAUUCCUGUAAAUCAGCUACCCAUACGGUUAACAGUUUUCCGUCUGCUCUGGAUCCAAUCGAAAAAGCGACACUGUCCCAUGGAUGAAACAAUCCUGUCAGCAUUUGCUAUACCUCUGUCAUUGACAAGGAAGUCCAUAUCCUGCGAUGUCCGCUGCCAAUGACUCCACCAGCUGCUGGUAAGAGGCGCCGGUGAGCCGUCACAUGGGCGUGGCUGCUGACGUCAAGGCGGAGAUAAAACACUGUCACCGAGUGACGGCAUGGCACUUUGAAUCAUGAUUAUUGACUGAUCUGAUUGACCGUGGACUAUCGGAAUUACCUUCUUGAGGCGUUCCACAAUUUACGGCGAUCCACUGCAAACUGCAUUUUUUAAUUCAAUUUAUUUGCCUUUAGCUUACAAGAUACUACCAGUUCAUACAUACAAGAAACAUACAGGUUUUGCAAGAUAAUU